rnacentral:lncRNA from 1 species
UUUUAUGGUUGGGGGGGUCACCCCAACAUGAGGAACUGUAUUAAGGGGUCCCAGCGUUAGGAAGGUUAAGAACCACUGCCAUAAGUACUUCCUGUCUGAGUACUUCAUCACAGCAACAGAAAAGAGACUAAUACCCCAGCUUGUGUAGUGAUAAUCUUAUGGGUCACAGGGUCAUGCAUUAUAGCAGAUCAAGAACUGGCUUUUGAGGCCUUGGACAUGUGACACAUUCAAUAUAUUCUGUAUGUUCACUGUCGUAAUGUCCGUGACCCUGUCCCAGUGGCCAGGUGAUCUGACAGGACUGGAAAACCAUGGGCUUUUAUCUACCUGCUCAGUCUUUCCAUUGUGUUGUUGCUAUGGUUUGGAACUUGAAUGGCUCCCAAAGCCCCACAGGCUGAAGGCUUAGUUGCCAGGCUGUGUUGAGAUAGGGAGGCCAUGUGACAUUCAGGAGGGGUAUCUAGUAGAGCAAGCUAGGUUAUUGGGGCAUGCCCUUGAAGAAGCUCUAUGGUUCCUGGUCCUUUUCCUGAUUUCCACAAGAACUGCGUCAGCAUCCACUAAUUAAUCCAUCAGCAAAGAAUGCUGCCUCCAUCUCUCCAUCAUUAGCCAGUCUUCAAAAGAAGCAAGAGGACCAGGGAUGGGCGCCAGAUGGCUUCUGAUGCAUCUCUGUCAUUCAGAUCUCCUCCACCAG